AAUAUUGUCUUUCCAUUUAAUUUUUAUUAGCUUCAUUGGGAUUAUAUCGACCACUUUGGAAAACCUGACAAUCAUCGCUUCUUUGGCUUAUGCCUUCUUGCUUUUCUUGGCUUAUCGAUACCGGGAAGACAGCUCUUUGAGAAGCUUGACAGAUGCAGGUUCUCUGUAAUUAAAACCAGUCUAGCAAUAGUUUAAAAGCUCCAUUGUCUGGAAAUUGCGGUAUCCCAGUUCAACCUUUUCGCUCCUCGCAAUUCCUGAUCUUAUCUUCGCACUUUGCCAAUUUUUCUUUUUGGGUCAUUGUUUCUUAUAAAAAGAAGUUGAACUUGUAUAGCUGAUGGAUUCCAAAUAACCAAACAAGUGAUGUUACGCGGAAAAAAGAAAGGUUGCAAUGCAACUUAAACGGCAUAAUACGCAAAGCCAAAUAUCUGCUCAUAGAAGGGAAGCGAUGUUGCUAUCACGAUAUAUGAGAAGACAAGAUUCUAAUAAGCACAACCUUCUUCAAAGACCAAUUUUUGUUGUCUAGAGCAAUCAAAAUCAUCUUGGGACAAAGUAGGAUUUCUGAAACAAACUGCUCUUAUUAUACGAGAACCACCUUCACUUCCUGAAAAGGGUUAUAUUGUUGUACUCAUAUUUACACACUAUAUAUUAUUAAGGCAAUGGUGCUUAUGUAUUUUUCUUGGAAACUUAGUAUGAUACCUUAUUUAUCUUAUAUGUUCCUAUAAACUAAAAUAUCCAAAUA